AGGACAUUGGGGCACUGGAUGUUGGUUCCAUUUUCUUUGGAGUGAAGGAGGUGUGACAAACGUUGAAGGACGGUGUCCUGUGAAUAUGAAUCCCACCUGGGGGGGCAUCAUUGUGCCCGGAACCCUCUCAGUACUGCUUCAGGGCAGAGGCAAAAGAACCCCAGAAAGCUAAUAAAUAGAGAGUUUUCAGAAGGAGAAUGUAGAACCAAGCCACAACAGUUCUCUCUUUAGUCCGUUCCAUUCUCUUUUCUCCCAGCUAUGCUGCCAGAGUGUGCUAUGGGUUUACAAGAGCAACAAAAGAUUAAUAAAUCUCUGUGGCUGUCCAGUAUGGGAAUCAAAAUCCUCGACCUUGGCAUUACAAGGCUGUGCUCU